rnacentral:rRNA from 1 species
UACGGGGGGGGUAAGCGUUGUUCGGAAUUACUGGGCGUAAAGGGCGCGUAGGCGGCCUUCUAAGUCGAACGUGAAAUCCCCGGGCUCAACCCGGGAACUGCGUCCGAUACUGGAAGGCUUGAAUCCGGGAGAGGGAUGUGGAAUUCCAGGUGUAGCGGUGAAAUGCGCAGAUAUUGGGAGGAACACCAGUGGCGAAGGCGGCACUCUGGGCCAGUACUGACACUGAGGAGCGAAAGCGUGGGUAGCGAACAGG